AAGAUGUAUUCCUAUAAAGGAUCCUGAAAUAGUCCGAACAUCUCAGGAUGAGGGUGAGUUACAUUUUUUUUGUAAGUAUAAACUUGAGAUAAGUUGGAGUAUGGAAAGAUUAAUGCCUUUUCUUUAAUAGCAGUGUUUGAUCCAAGACCACAGAAAUGAUGUGAGUACCCAAGCGAAGUCCAGAAAGGAUUGUUGUCCACUAUUAAUAGCCUGGUGGAUCAAGGAGUGCCAGUGCAAUGACCCACUCUUUCAACAUCCUCAAAGGCAUCUAAUUGUUCAGGACAUACUGAGUAUCUGCACUUACAGAAAUCAAGCCUCAAGUGGAACUCCCCUGAAAGCAAGGCACCGGGAAGCCAAGAUUAGUUUUCAGAAAUUACCAUCACAGAUGGCUUCCUGCAAUACAAAGAAGGCUCCUGGCAAGGCAGUUUGCUGGAUAACAUUCGAAUUGGAUGUGAUGGAAUUUCAAGGUGAGAUCAGUAUCUGGAACCAUGAUGCAAUUUAUGCUGUUAUCAUUUCAUGAACUUCUGCAAAUCUGCUCCUGAUAAUGUAUUAUAAUAAUACUGAUGAUCAGAACUGGAUUUGAAAAUUCAUGAAGACUGACGUCAGCUGCCACUGU
rnacentral:lncRNA from 1 species